UUUAUAAAAAUAUUAAUUUGUCAAAUUAAAGAAAGGAGAAU
rnacentral:tRNA from 1 species